UACAGAGGGUGCGAGCGUUGUUCGGAAUUACUGGGCGUAAAGCGCGCGCAGGCGGCUCUUUAAGUCUCGUGGUCAAAUGCCGGGGCUCAACCCCGAGCGUGCCGGGGAUACUGGAGGGCUGGAGACAGGUAGAGGCAAGCGGAAUUCCGGGUGUAGCGGUGGAAUGCGUAGAGAUCCGGAAGAACACCGGAGGCGAAGGCGGCUUGCUGGACCUGGUCUGACGCUGAGGAGCGAAAGUGUGGGGAGCGAACAGG
rnacentral:rRNA from 1 species